GAUUGACUGUUGACAAACGAUUACUGUUGCGACAAUUAUUCGGUGUAAACUUCAGCAUAAUACAUAUUAAAUAUAGUUUUUAUGAGUUCAACAGUUCGGGGAACAUUUGUGAGUGGAUUUUGAACAAAACAAUCUAAACUGAUAUUUUUAACUGUUACACCACGAAAACUGAGCACGCUCACUGAUAUAUGCAGUAAUCUACAUAUAUAAGAGUGACUCAACUUUGGAACAUCAGCAUCAGAAAAGUUGUACAUUUUGUUGACAUGAUAUUCUUUUAAGUUUGAAAUAUAGAUCAACUACAUAUAAUUAUUGACGUUGCAAUAUAGUAAAAGAAGAAAACAUGGCGAAAACAGUUGGAUUGUUUCAGGUGUGUGUAUGUAUGUUGACUGUUCUAAUAAUUAUCAACAAAGCUACCGCUCAACAGUUUGCAAAUGCAUCCAGUCUUGGAACCAUACUUGAAACCAUACUGAUGGGCAGAAAGAAUGAUACAUCAAUAGAAUGUGCUUCAAACAAUGACUUCUUGUUUGAAUUUUAUAGUAGCAGAUAUGAAAGAUCUUUAACAAUAGCAGUGUGUUACUUUAAAAGUAAAUCGUGUCUUCAGUUCAAAAACACUUUAGCAAACAAAUAUGAGGUUGUGAACACUGAACAUGGUGGACGUCUGAGAAUAACCAGUAUAGACAAUGCCACUAUUGGAACAUAUCAAUGCUGUGAAACUUACAAUCCCUCGAAUUGUAUAAGCACGGAAAUUUCACUAUCGCUAUUACCAAUUACAGAAGCAAACAACACACACAAUCCAUCUGUUGCCUGCGACUUGUGUGAACACAUCCUGUUGGGCACGGUAAAGGACAUGACCAUAAAAUGCUCAUCAAAUGACGAUCUUGCAUUCAAAUUCAUCAGCAAUAAAUCAAACACGUCUGUAACAAUUGCAGAAUGUUAUGGGACAUUUACACCAUGCACAAUAUUGAACCCGAGUUUGCAUUCACAAUACAGUGUGUCCACUACUGGCAGUGGGGGAAUUUUGCAAAUUAACAGUCUAAAUGAUGAAACUAUUGGAGUAUACAAAUGUUUUGCAAUUUACAAAUCCAGCAAUUACGUCAGCUUUUACAUUACUGCUAAUAACACGGAUGCUGCUGCUAAUAACAUGGAUGCAACUGCUAAUAACACGGAUGCAGCAGAUAAAACUACUUAUCCUAUUACUACAGUGACUCAGAAUAGUACAGAAAACCAAUCGGAUGAAAAUGGAACAAAAAAUGCAGCGCCACGUUGGGGAAUCCGUGCUGGUAUAGGUGCUGGCCUGAGCCCUUUUGUAAUCAUUGGCUUACUUUACGCUAUGAAGAAAUGCAAAUUGUUACUGUUUAUAUCUUCUGAAGUUGCAGAACAGGGACAAGAUGUGGAAGUUCCGUUACUGGAGAAUGCUCAAGUUUCACAUAGCCAACGCCUUAGAAGCAAGAAACAGGUUAUGCAAGAACAGCUUGAAAGUACAUCCCAAAGUUUGCCUGUCACCACUCCACAGUCAUCACAGCCCCUCAGAAGCUCCUCUGCCCCAUUGACCAAUCUCCCCUUGACAACCGAGACAGUCACCAGAAGUAGUUCCUCAGCAACCAUCGCCGGGUCAACUCAAACCACCACUACGCCACCUCAGCAGACUGCAGUAAUUCAGCCUAGGGAAACCGAACCUUGUAGAGCCAAUGUGGCUCUGCAGCGGUCAUCGACGCCUCUGAAGACCGUAUCUGCUAUAUUGGAGCGAUCAUCCCAUACCCGAGGCCCUGAUGACCCCAGACUGAACGUGGAUCUCACUACGGGUAUUUAUAUUGAGCGACCUCGACAUCCGGAAUACAACAACCUUCAGACUAGGAUUGACACAUUCACAGAUUGGCCAGCCCAUCUAGAUCAGGAUACAAGACAGUUAGCAGAACUGGGCUUUUUCCACGUUGGUGUGGCAGACUUUGUCAGGUGCUUUGCUUGUGGUGGAGGACUUCGCAACUGGGAAAGAGGUGAUAAUCCACUGGUUGAACAUAUAAGAUGGUUUCCAAACUGUGAAUACAUGCGCAAACUUAAAGGACAACACAUUAUAGACCUUGUGUUACGGCAUGUCAGAGAACAGGAGGCGGCUGAGGGAGCAGCUGCUUCAAGAACUUCAGAUCUAAAUACGACAGAUCCUCUCCAAAGUGAAUUGGGCCGCAGUCUGAUAGAUAUGGGAUUCAAAAAAAGAUCAAGUGAAGGACGGUAUCACAGGAGCCAGGCAGCGCCUUGCCUUUUUUCAGCAGUGGAGCGAUACAGGGCCAUCAUGGGAUUUUCUAUGAGAAAGUCCAUGGGUGAUAAGUUAUCCAAACAAACUUUGAUUCAUAGUGACGAUUCUGGAAUAAUGACUCAAACAAGCACAGAUUCAGACUCGUGGAUUUCUUUGAGAGCUAUUCUUAAGGCAUAUUGUGACCAAACACAACAACAAUUACAGCAAAUAGCAAAAGAUGUUGCUCAGAGAUUUUAUUUAGAUAAUGAUAAUCAGUUUCACCAAACUGUUAUUGUUAAUGGACUUAGAUCAUUCUUUAAUAGAGUGAACACUGGAGUACCAUUGACUCAUGAGGUAGAAUUACAGUUUGAAUGGCUGAGGUUCAUAACGUUCCACAAUUAUGAAGGUGAAGGAAAUGGCAUUGCACUGGCUAGAAAUGGUUUCUAUCAUGAUCACGAUCAAGGUCCUAAUGCCACUAGAUGCUUUACAUGUGAUGCAAUGCGUGAGGAAUGGACAUUAUUAGAAAAUGUGAAAGAGACCCAUCGAAGAAUGUCCCCAAACUGCCCCCUUCUCCAUAACAACAGUGGUGAGGGAACACGUAGAAAUAUAUCAAUUGCGGCAGACGAUGGACCCCAAAGAGCCGCCAGCACUGCCAAUGUGAAUGUACGAGAUGCCUCGGCCACUGGUGUAUCCCAGUCUCCCGCUGAAACCAGUACCUCUCAACCUACCCCAUCCAGUUCCAUUUCUCAGCCAACCCCGUCUGGUUCCAUAUUUCCUCAUGGUCGCAGCCCUGCAAACUUCAACCACCCGCCAACACCUGAGACUAUUCGGCAGUUGGAUGCUGCCACAGCUGCACGAAGGAAUGCAUCAACCUCUCAGAAUCCUGUGUCUCCGCUUACAGAACGCCUUGGCCAUGCACAGAUUACCGAGUCUGAAGAGGGCCCACGAAGCAUCUUGGCUCAGCCUACUGAGGAUCCAGAGAACAGACAGGCUCACAUACACAGGGCGGGAUACAGUGAUCAGGAUCACAGUGCUGAAACAAAAACACAGCUUAGAGCCAUUGUCAGGCAAGAGGAGAGACCAGUCCAGACUGGUGAAUCCACCACAACAACAACCUCCUCUUCAACCACCACCAGUAGCAGUAGCAGGAGUGGCACUACUCUGACAACCAGUCACAGUCAUGUCAACGUUGAGGUCGCUGUAGCUGGUGCCAACAUUACAGCAACGGCUACGACCGCCACUUCAGUGACUUCAGGUGGAAAUAAUGAUGAUGACUUGCCCAUGGCCGUUGUCAUUGGUACGCCGGUAGAGGACACUAGUUCUCCAGUCGAGGACACAGACUCCUAUGUGCAGAGCCUGAAGUGUAAAAUCCAGCCUGCACAUAAUAUUGCCAGAAACAACUUAAAAAAGGCUGCAGUAUACCCAUGGCAGUUAAUCACGCGCGCCACCUCUUUUUUGAGAUGCAUUAAUAAAUGAGCCAAUGCUACUUCCGAGGUGGCGCUAAUGAGCGGAUGUUAUGAAACAGUACGGAUAAUUGUACAAGUGAUGGAGCCAAUGCAUAGGAGGUGGCGCUCAGGACAGGAGGUGGCGCCAAUGCACGGGCAGUAUCUGGGACACCUUGUUUCAGACGCACUCUGUGUUGAUGACGUAUACACAUAUUACUGUUGCCCAGUUAUAUAAGGAAUCAAACUGCCACGGACAUGAAUAAAGGAACUAAAAAGAGAUAUGAAUGCAAAUCGUGUAACAAGUCAUACACCACAAACAGCAGGCUGAAUUUCCACGUCAAAAAUGUACGUCAAACGGCUAUAAGACGAACUAUGUGUUUGGUAUGCAACAGGCGGUUUAGUUCCCUGUGCAACUUAAAAGUACACCAGCGAUAUGUUCACGCGGGUAUACAAAAGCGUCAAGCAUGCAAAGAAUGUGUGAAACGCUUUUCAUCGAAGAGGGAUUUGGCUGACCAUUGUCGUCAGUAUCACGGCGCGGAGAAACUUACUUGUGAACUUUGCCAUGCAGAAUUCGGCUAUAUCCGAAACCUUAAACGCCACGCGCAGCAUUGCGGUGCGGAUAAAAAGAAAACGCACACAUGUGAUGUUUGUCAAAAAAUGUAUAGAUCAAAACGGGCCCUAAAUGUGCACACCAGAGUUAAACACUUGGGCAGCAUUUGCAUUUGCCAGAUUUGCGGCAAAAAUUUUGAGAGGAAAUACUCACUUUCUGGGCACUUGAAAAAUGUGCACAAGAGUUAACUUUUCAAUAGUAGCGAUUUACCAAAGUUGUUGUUUUUUUUGUAUUUAUGUUAUGUUUUGUUGCCCUAAGUAGGGAUUUAUCAAAGUUGUUGACUUUUUGUAUUUAUAUUAUGUUUUGUUACCCUUAGUAGGGAUUCACCGAAGUUGUUGCUUUUUGUAUUUAUGUUAUGUUUUGUUGCCCUAAGAAGGUAUUUACCGAAAUUGUUGAUUUGUUGUAUUUAUGUUAUGUUUUGUUACCCCAAGUAGGGAUUUAUUGAAGUUGUUGAUUUUUUUGUAUUUAUGUAAUGUUUUGUUGCCCUAAGAUGGGAUUUACCGAAGUUGUUGAUUUUUUGUAUUUAUGUUUUGUUACCCUAAGUAGGGAUUUACCGAAGUUGUUGAUUUUUUGUAUUUAUGUCAUGUUUUUUUGCCCUAAGAAGGGAUUUACCAAAGUUGUUGAUUUUUUGUAUUUAUGUUAUGUUUUGUUAUCCUAAGUAGGGAUUUACCGAAGCUGUUGAUUUUUUGUAUUUAUGUUAUGUUUUGUUACCCUAAGUAGGGAUUUACCGAAGUUGUAGAUGUUUUGCAUUUAUGUUAUGUUUUGUUACCCUAAGUAGGGAAUUCUUUUCCACAGUGACGGUCACGGGUUAAUGUAUCAAGCUGUAAUUACAGCUGUAUAUUUUAUGAAAGAAUCAGAGAAGCAUUUUCAUGUUUUGUUAUUUUCUAGAAUAUCAUUUAUGACUUUGAUAAGUUCGAUUAUUUUCAGUAAUUUAUUAUGUUAAGAUCUUCACACCCCGUUAUAUAAGUUUGCUCAUUUAUAUUGCUGAACUGUAUCGCAAAAAUAGUUUAUUUAAUUGAUAACGUUUGGUAAAUAUUAUAUGUUAAUUGAAACAAGUCUUCACCGUUACCACUUAUUUACGAUAUCAAAUGGUUGCUAGGCAGCGACGUGUAACUCAAUAUUGUUUUCGUUACGGAAAUAAAGUAUAAAAUACUUUUCUGCGUAUUAACAAUCCAAAUCCGUUUUCACCAGCACAUUGUUAAAUUGGAGACUUAAAAAUAAACUCAGGCGGAAAAACGAAAUGUAAUGCGUUUACUAUGAAGUAUUUUAUUACAAUACGACGCAUUUCGUUUUCAAACUUCAAAGACCCAACAGUUUAUAGCAAAUUAUUUAAUAUUUAGUUUAAGUAUACUAAUGUGCUGGUGAAUACUGGCCUGUGUAGUAAACAUGGCGAGAUGUAGUUUUUUGGCAGUCCGUGCGGCUUUGCCAGUAGUACUAGAAAUACAGUUAAGCAUUGAACUAGUCCAAAUAAUUAGACGUAAGCUACCCCGCUUACGUCUAAACGGCUACCGUCGUUUUCCUAUAGCAAAUUGAUUUCAACUUAAACUUCAGUUUUUCUCGUUAAAUCUUUGCUAAUGCAUAAAAUUAUCAUUAAUUAGACAUAAAUGUGAGCGAUAACCUCUUAAAUGUGUAAAAAUUGUGCUUUUAAACCACUUAUGUACAUUUUAAAAAUAAACAUACACAACACACGAAGUGUGUUUGUCGUUUAUAGAAUUACAUUGAAUUAUCUUGAACGAAAU